rnacentral:rRNA from 1 species
CGUAGGGUGCAAGCGUUAAUCGGAAUUACUGGGCGUAAAGCGUGCGCAGGCGGUUUUAUAAGUCUGAUGUGAAAUCCCCGGGCUCAACCUGGGAACUGCAUUGGAGACUGUAAGGCUAGAGUGUGUCAGAGGGGGGUAGAAUUCCACGUGUAGCAGUGAAAUGCGUAGAUAUGUGGAGGAAUACCGAUGGCGAAGGCAGCCCCCUGGGAUAACACUGACGCUCAUGCACGAAAGCGUGGGGAGCAAACAGGAUUAGAUACCCUGGUAGUCCACGCCCUAAACGAUGUCUACUAGUUGUCGGGUCUUAAUUGACUUGGUAACGCAGCUAACGCGUGAAGUACGACCGCCUGGGGAGUACGGUCGCAAGAUUAA